GAUGAACGCUAGCGGGAGGCUUAAUACAUGCAAGUCGAACGGCAGCAGGUCCUUCGGGGCGCUGGCGAGUGGCGGACGGGUGAGUAACGCGUACACGAUCUACCCAUAAGUCUGGGAUAGUCACUGGAAACGGUGAAUAAUACCGGAUGUGAAUAUAAGUUUACAUGGGCAUAUAUUUAAAGGUUGAUCUGCUUAUGGAUGGGUGUGCGUCCUAUUAGCUAGUUGGUGAGGUAAUGGCUCACCAAGGCGAUGAUAGGUAGGGGGCGUGAGAGCGUGGACCCCCACACGGGUACUGAGACACGGACCCGACUCCUACGGGAGGCAGCAGUAAGGAAUAUUGGACAAUGCCCGCAAGGGUGAUCCAGCCAUCCCGCGUGCAGGAAGACGGCCCUCUGGGUUGUAAACUGCUUUUAUAAGGGAAGAACGGCCACAUAUGGAUGUGGUAUGACGGUACCUUAUGAAUAAGCACCGGCUAACUCCGUGCCAGCAGCCGCGGUAAUACGGAGGGUGCAAGCGUUAUCCGGAAUCACUGGGUUUAAAGGGUGCGUAGGCGGUUAUGUAAGUCAGGGGUGAAAGUUCACAGCUCAACUGUGAGAUUGCCUUUGAAACUGUGUAACUUGAAUCAGAUAGAGGUUAGUGGAAUGCGACAAGUAGCGGUGAAAUGCAUAGAUAUGUCGUGGAAUACCGAUUGCGAAGGCAGCUAACUGGGUCUUGAUUGACGCUGAGGCACGAAAGCGUGGGUAGCGAACAGGAUUAGAUACCCUGGUAGUCCACGCCCUAAACGAUGAUUACUCGACAUACGCGAUAUACAGUGUGUGUCUGAGCGAAAGCAUUAAGUAAUCCACCUGGGAAGUACGUCCGCAAGGAUGAAACUCAAAGGAAUUGACGGGGGUCCGCACAAGCGGUGGAGUAUGUGGUUUAAUUCGAUGAUACGCGAGGAACCUUACCUGGGCUAGAAUGCUAUCUGCCCGUACCUGAAAGGGUAUUUUGUAGCAAUACACAGAUAGUAAGGUGCUGCAUGGCUGUCGUCAGCUCGUGCCGUGAGGUGUUGGGUUAAGUCCCGCAACGAGCGCAACCCCCAUCUUCAGUUGCCAGCACGUAAUGGUGGGAACUCUGAAGAAACUGCCGUCGUAAGACGCGAGGAAGGAGGGGAUGAUGUCAAGUCAUCAUGGCCUUUAUGCCCAGGGCUACACACGUACUACAAUGGGGAGGACAAAGGGCAGCGACCUGGUAACAGGAAGCGAAUCUCAAAAACCUCUUCUCAGUUCAGAUUGAGGUCUGCAACUCGACCUCAUGAAGCUGGAAUCGCUAGUAAUCGCGCAUCAGCAAUGGCGCGGUGAAUACGUUCCCGGACCUUGCACACACCGC
rnacentral:rRNA from 1 species